CUGUCUCUCUUGAAUCACAGUAGGAAAACACAAGCGUGAAGCCUCCAUUUGGGAAGCCUGCAGAAGCCCCAAUCCAAUCACAGCACUGCCAGAGGAUCUUAGAAGUUGAAUAUCAAUUUAAUAACACAUCCUGUUUGAGAUUGGGUUCUAACUAUAUUGCCCAAGCUAGAUUCAAACUCUUGGGCUCAAGUGAUCCUCCUGCCUAAGACUCCUUAGUAGCUUGGAACUUCAGAACCAUCUGUCAAUGGCUACUUCAUACUUUAGAUGCUCCAAGAGGAAAAAGUCAUUUCAGAAUUGUAUCCAUAACCCAGUUUCAUUGAAGAUGGAGUCUUCCUUCAGAUUUUCUACAUAGACAAUUAUACCUCUGUGAACAAAGACAGUUUAUUUCUUCCUUCCCACACCCUGCCACACUUCCUCCUGCUCCAGCAAUGUAAAACGUGCCUGCUUCCCCUUCACCUUCCACGUGACUGCAAGUUACCUGAUGCCUCUUUCGCCAGCUUUCUGUACAGCCUGCAGAACCAUGAGGAAUCACACCCCUUUUCUUUACAAAUUACCCAGUCUCAGACAUUUCUUUAUAGCAAUGCAAGAAUGGACUAAUACAGUAUCUGUGUAAAAUGGAGAUGUUUCCUAAGAAAGAAUAAACUCCUUUUGGUAUAA
rnacentral:lncRNA from 10 species